rnacentral:sRNA from 1 species
GUGCGCCGCGCCUCUGAGGCGCAGCAUGUGAAGCGGAGACGGCAUCCAGUGGGGGGCGAGCCUCUCAGCCGGCCGGGAUGGCUACCACGGCCGAGCUCUUCGAGGAGCCUUUUGUGGCAGAUGAAUAUAUUGAACGUCUUGUAUGGAGAACCCCAGGAGGAGGCUCUAGAGGUGGACCUGAAGCUUUUGAUCCUAAAAGAUUAUUAGAAGAAUUUGUAAAUCAUAUUCAGGAACUCCAGAUAAUGGAUGAAAGGAUUCAGAGGAAAGUAGAGAAACUAGAGCAACAAUGUCAGAAAGAAGCCAAGGAAUUUGCCAAGAAGGUACAAGAGCUGCAGAAAAGCAAUCAGGUUGCCUUCCAACAUUUCCAAGAGCUAGAUGAGCACAUUAGCUAUGUAGCAACUAAAGUCUGUCACCUUGGAGACCAGUUAGAGGGGGUAAACACACCCAGACAACGGGCAGUGGAGGCUCAGAAAUUGAUGAAAUACUUUAAUGAGUUUCUAGAUGGAGAAUUGAAAUCUGAUGUUUUUACAAAUUCUGAAAAGGUAAGUGCUGUCAGAGGAUAAAACCAAAUCACAGCAUUAAUAACAGUGCCCU